AUGCGAGAUCACUGUUCUUCAAGACGUGCUCAUUCCUUCUCUUAUAGUGAAGAUUCAGUUUCCAAAUCUAAGACGGCGAAGAAGAAGGAAGUAGAUCCAAAAGAGAACGUGCGUGAGGAGCUCCUCGGGAGCUGGUGUGCUAGUGGUAGCAACGCCGAUCUAAAUAAGUCCAAGACCUACAUCAAGACCGUUGAAGAAACCACCGGAGCCAUUGGAACUGCCAAACUCUAA